AGCGACAAGGGCAAACCCGUCGAGAGGCGGGGACGCAAAGCCACGGGACCACCAAGGUCAGCCGGGCUGCCGACU
rnacentral:ncRNA from 1 species